UGCCGGAUGGCUCACUCGGAAAAGCAUCGCUUUGCGAAAGUGACCGUCACGGCGCGGGUUCGAUCCCCGCCUCAGACCA